rnacentral:lncRNA from 1 species
CAGAUGGGGCAGGUGUGACCUGGCAGAGGAGGUGUUGCUCUCAGGCUCAGGUGCAGGUGGGCUGGGAUGGUUCUCGGAGCUCAGGAACUCAGGUGCCUGGGAGGAGUAGGUGGGGGUCAGACCUAUCAAAAAUAUUCUAUCUGGGAUACUUUCUUUUGGCUCAGAACAUGAUGUGGAAAUACACAAAUGGGGAACACAGUUCAAGUAAACUAUGAAGAUAAAGCUUCUGUCUCAAAGACCGACCAACUACCAGCAGAUACCCGCAACCAACCGUUUCUCCUCAUCAUCAUUAUUACAGAGUAAAAGACAGUCAGGAACAUCUGGUUGCACAAGCCCACUGACCUCUGGCUACAGCGGAUUGGACAGGUGGCUCAAGAUGAAGCAAUCAAAAUUGCAGCCCUGGUAAUUUGGAAAUGCGACUGAAUGGACUGGCAUGAAAAGAGUCUGGUGAGAAGAGACAGAGUGGAGACUGAGCAACUGUGCAAAGAGAAAAUGUAACAUGAAAAGAGUGGGAAUGACUUUUCAGGCCCUGUUUGGUAUCUUCUUGUUGCCCAGCUGAUCUUUUAUCCUUAGAUCCAAGAAAAUUUCAGCUGCUUGCCCCCGAAAAGCCAACAUGGUGAAGAUUGAAGCCAGGGUGAAGCCAACAUGGUGAGGACACCACAGUCGGUUUUAUAAAAACAAAUUCACCAUAAAAAUGUUGUGUCUGCUUUAGCACAAACUGCUCUGUGGUUUGGUUUCAUGUGAUGAUAAAUGAUUUGCUCUUCAGCUAGAAACUGUGUGUAAAUGACAAGGUUUCCAGAAGAUGCAAACAGAGAAAAAGAAGUGAGAAACCCUCAUCUUUGUGGCAUCCUCUGAAAGGAGAGAGGGCUUGUGUGAUGGAAGGGCAAUUGCAGUGAGCAGAGGCACCCUGGCCAGGGACCCAUAGAAUAUAAAAUGACUGGUUGUGAGAUAUGAGUUCAGGAGCAGCAGAGUGAAUCUCCUCAGGUGAUGGAUCAUUAUGCUGAAAUCAAUCUUUACAGUGGAAGACAAAGUUAGCCAAAAUGAAAUAUUUCCUUGAACAAGAGGUUUAAAUUGUAGUAGGCCACUCUACGGAUAGUGACAAUCAAUAUCAACUUAGUUGAAGACCCUCUCAGCCAGACCUCAUUAAACCUGAUACCAAUGAGGGACUAAAGUCCAGUUGCCACGGAUGAGAGUUUAACGUUGCCACAAUCAUGCCAAAUCAAAUGUCCUUUAUCAGCAGAGGAAUGGGUUGAAAUAUGUAGGCUUCUCAGCAACGCAACCAGCUAUUAAGUAUCUCUCAAUGUGUCCACCAAGGUGUGAACAUCAAAAGCCCAGCAGGAGCUAUUUAUAUUUGAAGAUUAUUAGACAGUAGCUGCACAGAAGGCUUGCCUCAGAAAAUGCUGUCCCUGACCAGACAGUCCUAUGGUAAAACCCCGGAAACUACUGAGCCCUCCAGAGUCAUUUCCAUUUUUACAAGGAUCUGCAGCUCUGUGUGGAGCGUCGUCCUUCCCACCAUGUAGCCCUGGACAGAGUGGGAGGAAGAGUGGACCCCAAGGGCAGGGGAUAGGUGAACAUCACUUACUUUUGUGUCUGUCAACAGACCCACCUGCUAUUCCGUAACAACUGCUUUUCAAGUGAAGUGAAGCUAGUGUGUACAGUUCACACGUGCGUACUAAGACAUGUGCAAAAACAUCUGGGGAAGCUCAGCCUCAGCAAAAGCUAUGAGUCCGCUCUGGCAUCCUGGUCUUACUGGAAUAAUGGCCAUAAGUUUGUGCUGGGGUGAGUCUGCCAAAAGAGAGAGGUUAUAAGGCCUAGAGCACUGUUUUCCAAACUAAACUCAACAGGGUGUUAGUAUGUGUGAGGAGAUAAAAGGAUUACACAGGCAAUGUUGGUGAGAUAUUGAGCUAAACAAGUUAAAUGAACAAUUAAAGUGUAUGCAUGUGAUAUUCAUGAAUACAGUAUAUAUCUGUAGAUCUACACACACACAGUAUAAAGAGCAAUAGAGGGCCGGGGAUUUAGCUCAGUGGUUCCGCCGCCUGCCUCGCAAGCGCAAGGACCUGAGUUCGAUCCCUGGUCCCCCCCCCCAAAAAAAGAGCAAUAGAAAUCCACAUUAAUAAACACAUUACCAAUCUUAGCAAGCCUGCUGGUUGCUUCUUUCUGGAUUUAGCCUCCCAUUUCACCCCAAGGCGAGCAGUGAUUUGAAUUUUGUGUUUGAGUUUUACUUUUCA